rnacentral:lncRNA from 1 species
UCCAGUUCCUUGUUCAAAAUGCCAAGAACCUGGAUGACUCAUAGUCAAGACCCUCCACCAGUAACAUAUAUUGGCGAGCCAGCCAGGAGACCACUACAGGAAACACUCCAUUUAUUCCACCUGACUUCCCACUUGGCUGCAUCCUCAACCAUUGAAAUGAAUUUGACCCUGAUAAUCUAAGGAGGAAACAUUUGAUAUUCUUUUGCAAUAAUACUUGGCCCCAGUAUUGUUUGGAAUCUGGAGUUUGCUGUUGAAUGGGAAAGCAGGAUGACGUUGCAUGUAUCCAGGCUUUGGUGCUGCUGUCCUAAGAAGGGUCAGGCCUAGUCAGCAUAUGGUGCUCUCCUUUGGUGCUAUUUGGCUCCAGUGUCUUUGGAGUCUGAGGAGGUUUGGCCUUUAAAAAUCAAACUGCCACCGGAACUGCUUUAAAAAUGUUUGGUUCACAGCCUUCACUGGAUUACCUAUUGGAGCAAACAAAGUGUAACCAUGUAAAACCUGUGAGCUUGUAUUGAUAUCUCA